rnacentral:lncRNA from 1 species
AUGAACAUAAUUGGUCGCAUUUAGUAAUCACAUUGUCCCUACACAGUUUUUACAGGUCUAUUGCCAAGUUGAAACACUAUUUUGUAUUGUUUUUAUGUAUUUAUUUUAUUUAUGUGUGAACAGUUUGAUAACUAUAAAAUCAGUGGUAUUUAUGUAAAAAGAAGAAAAAUGUUUGAAUAUCAAAGGAAGACUCUGGAGAGGUUACAGGACAACAAUAUUAUUAAAUAAACGAGAUGACCAUGAGAACAUAGAACAAUGAAUAUGACUUAAUUGAAUGGACAUAAUGACGUUUAAUCGGCGCCGAAUAUUCAAUUCAAUGUAACCAAUGCGAGGAAUACCCCUGUUUUUGUAGACGGUCUGUGCCAUGUGGUUGGUUUUUACACGGCUAUUGUUUAAACAUUAUGUACACUUGGUACAAAAUCACACUUCACCAAAUAUCUGAGAGUUAUUGCAUGAUAUUGUUUAGGAACUGGUGAUAUGAGAAUACACUUGGAUAUAAAAGGGUUACAAUAUAUUAAACUACGUUUUUGAAGAUUAUAACGUAUUAGAUACUGUUGAGCAUCGUGCAGAAAUUGAUAGUUGAAAUUGUUUACACCCUUUUUUUAUUAAAAUUAUUAAGCAAUAUAUCAGACCAUUAUGAUUGGACUUUUAUAACGAACAUUUAUCGGAUGUUGGAGUUAUUUAUUUGUAAUGAAAGGACAAUUAUCUACUGGCAAUUAUCAAUUUAGCUGAAACUGUCGGAGAUGGCACAGAGAUAUCGCGGCUGUUCACAGCGUUUUACAUCCGACUGGCUGAUGUGCACCAUGGAUGCACUUCCCUCCACUAUUUUAGGGUGUUCUU